AAGAGAUUCAGGCUAUUAUUUUGGCACAUGAAACGAUACAGAGAAGAUUUCCAUGGCCCCUGCGCAAGGAUUAUAUUAUUUUGGCAUACUACAAAUAAAACUUGU